rnacentral:rRNA from 1 species
AGGGCGCACGGUGGAUGCCUUGGCACUAGGAGCUGAUGAAGGACGGGACUAACACCGAUAUGCUUCGGGGAGCUGUAAGUAAGCUUUGAUCCGGAGAUUUCCGAAUGGGGAAACCCACUGUUCGUAAUGGAACAGGACUUGUGUCUGAAUACAUAGGGCACAAGAGGCAUACCUGGGGAACUGAAACAUCUCAGUACCCAGAGGAAGAGAAAGCAAAUGCGAUUUCCCAAGUAGCGGCGAGCGAAACGGAAACAGCCCAAACCAGAGAGCUUGCUCUCUGGGGUUGUAGGACACUCCACAUGGAGUUACAAAGGAAUUCUUUAGACGAAUCCAUCUGGAAAGAUGAGCCAAAGAGGGUAACAGCCCUGUAGUCAAAAGAGAAUUCUCUCCGGAGUGUAUCCUGAGUACGGCGGAACACGUGGAAUUCCGUCGGAAUCCGGGAGGACCAUCUCCCAAGGCUAAAUACUCCCUAGUGACCGAUAGUGAACCAGUACCGUGAGGGAAAGGUGAAAAGUACCCCGGAAGGGGAGUGAAAGAGUACCUGAAACCGUGUGCCUACAAGUAGUCGAAGCGCAUUUACGCGUGACGGCGUACCUUUUGUAGAAUGGACCGGCGAGUUACGAUCGUAUGCAAGGUUAAGUGGAAGACACGAAGCCGCAGCGAAAGCGAGUCUAAACAGGGCGAAUGAGUAUGCGGUCGUAGACCCGAAACCGUGUGAUCUACCCAUGUCCAGGGUGAAGGUCAGGUAACACUGACAGGAGGCCCGAACCCACGUAUGUUGAAAAAUGCGGGGAUGAGGUGUGGGUAGGGGUGAAAUGCCAAUCGAACACGGAGAUAGCUGGUUCUCUCCGAAAUAGCUUUAGGGCUAGCCUCAAAGAUUUGAGUACUGGAGGUAGAGCACUGAUUGGACUAGGGGCCCUCAUCGGGUUACCGAAUUCAGUCAAACUCCGAAUGCCAGCUACUUAGACUUGGGAGUCAGACUAUGGGUGAUAAGGUUCAUAGUCGAAAGGGAAACAGCCCAGACCACCAGCUAAGGUCCCAAAGUAUACGUUAAGUGGAAAAGGAUGUGGAGUUGCUUAGACAACCAGGAUGUUGGCUUAGAAGCAGCCAUCAUUUAAAGAGUGCGUAAUAGCUCACUGGUCGAGUGACUCUGCGCCGAAAAUGUACCGGGGCUAAACGUAUCACCGAAGCUGUGGAUUGUCUUUUAGACAAUGGUAGGAGAGCGUUCUAAGUGCUGUGAAGUCAGACCGUGAGGACUGGUGGAGCGCUUAGAAGUGAGAAUGCCGGUAUGAGUAGCGAAAAAAGAGUGAGAAUCUCUUUCACCGAAUGCCUAAGGUUUCCUGAGGAAGGCUCGUCCUCUCAGGGUUAGUCGGGACCUAAGCCGAGGCCGAAAGGCGUAGGCGAUGGACAACAGGCAGAUAUUCCUGUACCACCUCGUGAUCGUUAUGAGUGAUGGGGGGACGCAGUAGGAUAAGGAAUGCGCACCGAUGGACGUGUGCGCCCAAGCAGUGAGAAAGUCAGAUAGGCAAAUCCGUCUGGCCAUUUCAAGCUGUGAUGGGGAGGCAACUAUAGCCGAAGUUCCGGAUUUCACACUGCCGAGAAAAGCCUCUAGCCAGAUCACAGGUGCCCGUACCGCAA